rnacentral:rRNA from 1 species
CCUACGGGUGGCAGCAGUGGGGGAUAUUGCACAAUGGGGGAAACCCUGAUGCAGCGACGCCGCGUGGGCGAAGAAGUAUUUCGGUAUGUAAAGCCCUAUCAGCAGGGAAGAAGAAAUGACGGUACCUGAGUAAGAAGCACCGGCUAAAUACGUGCCAGCAGCCGCGGUAAUACGUAUGGUGCAGGCGUUAUCCGGAUUUACUGGGUGUAAAGGGAGCGCAGGCGGCACGGCAAGCCUGAUGUGAAAGCCCGCGGCCCAACCGCGGGACUGCAUUGGGAACUAGCGGGCUGGGGUGCCAGAGAGGUAGGCGGAAUGCGAGGGGGAGCGGUGAAAUGCGUAGAUAGUGGGAGGAACACCGGUGGCGAAGGCAGCCUGCUGGACGGUGACUGACGCUGAGGCACGAAAGCGUGGGGAGCGAACAGGAUUGGAUACCCCUGUAGUC